rnacentral:rRNA from 1 species
GAGCACGUAGGUGGGUUUGUAAGUCAGGUGUGAAAGCCUUCUGUUCAACGGAAGAAUUGCAUCUGAAACUGCGAGUCUUGAGUGUAGGAGGGGAGAAUGGAACUUCUGGUGGAGCGGUGAAAUGCGUAGAUAUCAGAAGGAACUCCGGCGGCGAAAGCGAUUCUCUGGCCUAUUACUGACACUCAGUGUGCGAAAGCUAGGGGAGCAAACGGGAUUAGAUACCCCGGUAGUCCUAGCCGUAAACGAUGGGCACUAAGUAGAGGGGUUUU